rnacentral:tRNA from 1 species
GCCUGGGUAGCUCAGUGGGUUAAGCCUCUGCCUUUGACGCAGAUCAUGAUAUCAGGGUCCUGGGAUCGAGCCCCACAUCAGGCU